CUCCCCUCGAGCGCGGUUCGGCCCCUAGCGGGCCGGCCGCCGCCCGGUGUUGGGGCACUGCGGGCCGUAGCGCCUGCAGGCCCUUAAAUGAAGUGGCGGUCCCGCCGCGGCGCCCCCUGCGUAGUAGUAAAGCACCUCGCAUCGGGUCCCGGCGGAGACCAGCCGUCGAACCUAUCUCUUGAUG
rnacentral:misc_RNA from 1 species